rnacentral:misc_RNA from 1 species
UCUCCGUUGGUGAACCAGCGGAGGGAUCAUUACAGGACUCGCAAGACUCCUACAACCCUGUGAACUUAACUAUAAGCACGUUGCUUCGGCGGGUGUCUCGGAGGGGGUUCUCCCUCCCCGAGACGCUAAACCCGCCGGCAGCCUACUAUACUCUGUCACUUUGCGUUGGCAUCUCGAGUACAAUCAAACAAGUUAAAACUUUCAACAACGGAUCUCUUGGUUCUG